rnacentral:lncRNA from 1 species
GAGGCAUUAUUGGUAGCCACACGUGAGGAGCUAAUAGAGCAAGUGGUCGGCAAGCCGCGCCCUUAUGUUGGAAGAAUUGAAGAAAUUAACGAGACGAAUGCUGCCCCGGCGAUGACAGCCACACUCGAGCGAAAGGCGAAUGAUUCGGAAGGCCUACAAACAGCAUUCAAGCAAAUUAUCGAUAGGCUCAACAAAUUGGACAUAUAGUAGAACAUAAAAUAAGCUCACAGCCACCGAUUACUUCACAACCUGUAGAGCCACAGGGAACACGAAAGAUGCCCGCCACGAACCAUCUAUGCCGCCGCAACAUUAUGAACAAGGUUGGAUUCGUCCCCGUUAUACUUAUAGGCCGCCGCACAUAACUGGUAUCCACAAUCUCGUUUAAUCGAUUAUCAAAAUUUUAGGGGAAGACUCACAUCGAGAUUUGAGCCACUUCAGACUUUUAGCGGACCACAAGGGAGUUAACGCUUUCGGAAUCCAGCUCAACCCUCACAUCGUAAAUCAGGACGAUCACGACCUAUUCCACAAUAAAAUUUUCAGGGUAGAACUGCGGUCAGAAUCGAAAUGGGACAAAUUCCUGACUAGUGCGAGAUAAACACGUAUUGAAACAAUGCAUUAGUUUGGGUAAUAAUUGAGCAAAGCCUUCGCAUACCAUUAUAUCAGUAAAAAGAGAAAUAGAAGCAUAUUAAUCAUAACAAAUCUAAGGACAUCAUUCAAUUUAAAAAAAUAUACGAAACAAAAUUAGCCAGGGACGCAGAUCCGAGCCUAAAAUCCUUAGUAAACGGACAAUCAAGCUACCUAACGAUCGAUAUCGGAGUUAAGGUCACACUGUUGUCAAAAACGUUCGUAAACUCUUUAGGCCGAUUUCCAUUUCCGCGUCACGAUGUAAAUUUAAAAUUACAAAGUGCUACGGGACAUGUAAUUCAAACAUAUGGAAGAUACGAAUUUACUUUCAAAUAGGUCCAUUGCGGCUCAAACACGCUUGUUAUAUUGCCGAUCCGUAUAUUACUACACCGAACGAUGGUAUAUUAGGUCGUGAUAUUAUCGUCAAAUAUCACCUAAUAAUAUCGUUGCAUGAUUCGAAAAUAAUAUUAGUUAAUGGCACACAAAUCACUUUUAAAGGUGAAUUGUGCAAUCAAACUACUGUAAAGAGGUCUGUGCAGCAACACACCGCCGUUCAUAUCAGUAACAAAAACAACGGUAACCAAAACGAGGAGAAACCAGGUUCACAGUCUAGCAGUUGCCGCGAUGGCGCGAAAACUGUUUAUCUGGUAAAAGACAAAGGUAUAUCGCCUAUGUCGGAAGCUAUAAUAUUGGCGAAAGUUAUAGGUAUUAGACAAAAAAACCAGUUGGGGGUGAUAGAAUCGGAAAUUUUGAGUAUUCCGGUACUAAUGACUAUGGACGUUUUAAUCAGAACGAAAGCGAGAGGCAGGAUCCUCGUUAGAAUUAUGAAUAUCACAACUAAUGCUAUAAAAUUACAUAAACAAGACUCAGUAGGUAAAUUUUUAUAGGCAAGAAAAGAAACUGAAGAACAAACAAAUAAUGAAAAGUCACAAAAAGUCGAUGGGAUUGAGAACAUGAAUCAGAAAGACUUUGGAAAUCUUUUUGACUGGUCGAAAAUGGGAAAGGACAAGAAGAAACCAUUAUUAGUUUUACUGUACAAAUAUAAGCAUGUCUUUGCGACUAAUAAUUUCGAUUUAGGGUAUUGCGAUAUCGUGCAACAUGAAUUUUCCGAGACCUAGAAAUGACACCGAAGUGCUCUCAUUUCUGCAAUUAACAGG